rnacentral:rRNA from 1 species
AUGGGUCAAAAGAUGGGAAUUAAACUAUUUGUUUACACUUUAUCCAAGACAACAACCAACUCCAGGAUGCUUACUCAUGAUUACCUCUCAAAUUUCAUGAUUGGUGGGAAUGCAAAGGUUAAAGUAUUUCUACCAGAACACGAUGAUUAUCUAGAUGUGUUCAUGAAGACAGUGAAGGAUGGGCAGUCGACCAUCACAAGGGGUUGGGAUAGAUUCGUCUGUACCUUCUGCAUGGAGGAGGGCACAAUAUGGGCAUUCCGCUUCACCCUGUUCAGCAACCAGAAAGUAUUUUGCCUUUUUCUUUAUCGUCUUUAA